AGUUUUAGCUCUUUAUUCUUAAGAUUUAUAGCCUUAUAUUCAACCAUUAAUUCAUUAAAUGCAUCAUACAAUUCAUCAAAGGUAAAAUCUAGAUGCAUUUCGGAUGUUACCUCAUUUUCAUUUGCCAUGAAGCAGAAAUUGGCCUUUUCUUCUUGUUCCUCAUCCGAUGAUGAUGAUGAUGAGUCGGAGUCCGAUAAGGUGGAGACAAGGGCUUUCUUUUUCUUGUACUUGCUUCCCUUCUUCAGCAAAGGACACUCAGCUCUGAUGUGCCCCGGCUUCUUGCACUCAUAACAUCCAAUCCCCUCAUUUU
rnacentral:lncRNA from 1 species